GUAAAACCUUCCCUCUUUCAGCCUUCCUUUCUUCAGUCCUGUCAGCUGUUACAUCAACGUGACGGUGGGUCUCCUCCUGGACUACCACAUGUCCCUGGCCCAGAAUGCAUUGCAGUGUGUGGAACGCACCAGAGCUCCAGACAGAGUACUGUCCAGCUGAUUAAACAGAACCACCGCCGCACACCACACACUCCUCCCUCACUCAGGUACGUUACACACCACACAACUCCUCCCUCACUCAGGUCGUUACACAGCCAAACAACUCCUCCCUCACUCAGGUACGUUACACACCACACAACGCCUCCAUCACGCAUACAUUAACACACCACACAAACUCCCUACCCUCACUCAGGUACGUUACACACAAACAACUCCUCCCUCCUCAGGUACGUUAAACACCAAAACUUCUCCCUCACCAGGUAACAUAAACACCUCAACUCCUCCCUCACUCAGGUACGUUACACACCUCAACUCCUCCCUCACUCAGUACGUACACACCUCAAUCGCUCCCUCACUCAGGUAGCGUUACACACCUCUACUCCCCCGC
rnacentral:lncRNA from 1 species